rnacentral:lncRNA from 1 species
GGAAAAUUCAUAGCUGAUUUGUGAGAUCUUUACAACUAAUUGCCUCCUUAGAUAUCAGUAAUCCAUUGUAGAGCUCACCUAGGGUAGAAUGAUGCAAUUUCUGAAGGCAAUGGUUUUGUUCACAAAGUUGGAAAAGAAAACAAUGUUAAAACAUGGCAGACUCCCAACUUAGAAGCCCUACUUUUAAAACAAUAAGAGUUUUCAUUUAUUAAAAAAAAAAAAAAAAAUGAUUCACAAAGGAAAUGAACAAAUGGGUUUAGGAAAAAGAUAAAAGGAACUCAAUGAAUAAUGGGAAUUAUCUGAUGAAAUAAUUCCUAUAUCACAGUAUUUAUUUGCUUGGUUAAAAUUGUGGUCUCACCAAUAAAACUGUCUGAGUAACUAGACUCUCAUUACAUCUAUCCAAAAGGUGAAAUUAUUCAAAACAUAUUAAAGACAUGCCAUUUGUCCGAAUUCUUCACAGGCUACUCCCAGAGUACAUGUAGAUGUUUCCCCACCAACUUUACAAGGAACCUGGUGGCAGCUGGGUUUCACAGAAUUAAUGUCUGUAGAAGAAGCCAGAGACAUAAGGUCAUAAAGACCUGGAAGGACCCAACUGGAGAAGUCUGUCACCAUUGUCUACUGGGAGAUUUCAUCUAAAUAAACGUGUUCCAGAGGAAAGGUGUGCUCUCCCCACGCUGCGCAGGACCCUUCUGAGUGCUGGUGAUCAUUGAGAAAGCUAAAACGAAAUGAAUACCCAGCUGGAUUCAUGCUUCCCACAUGAAUCCAGCACAUUAGGAGGACUUGGCUGUGGCUUCCACAAAGUACUUGAAACCUGGUGCUGAACUCAACUGAAAGGAGUAUUCUAAAGAACUUACUACAGUUCUCAUAUUUUACCUUGCUCUGCUAUUCACACUGAUGGCUACUUCAAUUACUUUAAGGAUAUUUUAGUAGGAAAAAAAUGUCUAACUUGUUACACUACUUUUUCUUCUUGUACUCCCAAGUAAUGAUUCCUAUAUGUAUUGAAGGGAAGAACUGGGUACCGAGACUGCGACUAUACCAGAAAAGAUAGAGAGAUGCUGUUGCAUAGAAAAAACUUCAAAUUAGUAAACAAACAAAUGUGGAAUUUAUAGACUAAGGCUGCAAAAGACAAAUCUACUGUCACUCAAGUCACUUUGGGAUCUAAGU